UACUUAUAUUACUCUAAACAGUGGUUUGAAUUGAUCGAUUCGGUGACGCUGAUUAUCACUAGGAGACAAGCUUCUUCUCAGAGUUAGGGGAGCUCCGCUUGCUCUGAUUCAUGUUUCCUCCUCUGAUCCUUUGCCUCACCUUAGUAUCAAAAAUACACCAAUCGAGACAUCAUCUGCGCAGUUUAUACGUCAACGGUACACUGCUGCUUCCAGUGGACAGAAGCUUCAAAACUCUAUAACAAACGCUUAUGGGGAAGCUCAAGAUGAUCACUUCUGAGCUUCAGACUGCGACUUCUUGUAGGGAACCGGACGAACCCGUCCAAGGCUGAGAGUGGAGGUUUCGUUCUCUGGCAGAUAAAUCUAUACAUAUAUAUUAACAGUUUUGUAAUGUUCUCAUCUUCUGUUUGGAUCAUUUGAUUUGAUGUUUCUGCUUAUGCGUGUUGAGAGUCCUUUUUGGUUUCUUUAGGUUAUGCUUGAUAUCGUGUUAUCUGAGUUUCAAGUUAUCAAUAAUUCUGAGAAAACUAUUACUCUUAAAUUUUACACUAAA